rnacentral:rRNA from 1 species
AGCUUGCUAUCUUUGGUGGCGACCGGCGCACGGGUGAGUAACGCGUAUCCAACCUGCCCAUUACUCAGGGAUAGCCUUGCGAAAGUAAGAUUAAUACCUGAUGUUGUUUGAUUGCCGCAUGACGAUCAAACCAAAGAUUUAUUGGUAAUGGAUGGGGAUGCGUGACAUUAGGUAGUUGGUGAGGUAACGGCUCACCAAGCCCACGAUGUCUAGGGGUUCUGAGAGGAAGGUCCCCCACACUGGAACUGAGACACGGUCCAGACUCCUACGGGAGGCAGCAGUGAGGAAUAUUGGUCAAUGGACGAGAGUCUGAACCAGCCAAGUAGCGUGCAGGAUGACGGCCCUCUGGGUUGUAAACUGCUUUUAGUUGGGAAUAAAAAGAGGGACGUGUCCCUAAUUGUAUGUACCAUCAGAAAAAGGACCGGCUAAUUCCGUGCCAGCAGCCGCGGUAAUACGGAAGGUCCAGGCGUUAUCCGGAUUUAUUGGGUUUAAAGGGAGCGUAGGCGGGAUGAUAAGUCAGCUGUGAAAGUUUGCGGCUCAACCGUAAAAUUGCAGUUGAAACUGUCGUUCUUGAGUGUGCACAGGGAUGUUGGAAUUCGUGGUGUA